rfam:Populus trichocarpa scaffold_12_contig_150, whole genome shotgun sequence.
AAAUAAGUUAUGAAAUCUAAAAGUAACAAAAAAAAUAACUGAUUGCUCAGAAUCACCCGUUAUCGCAGAUUUGACUAAAUCAUUCUUUUCAGGUUGGAGAGAACUUGAC